rnacentral:rRNA from 1 species
GAUCAUGGCUCAGGAUGAACGCUAGCUACAGGCUUAACACAUGCAAGUCGAGGGGCUGCAUGGUCUUAGCUUGCUAAGGCCGAUGGCGACCGGCGCACGGGUGAGUAACACGUAUCCAACCUGCCGUCUACUCUUUGACAGCCUCCUGAAAGGAAGAUUAAUACAAGAUGGCAUCAUGAGUCCGCAUGUUCACAUGAUUAAAGGUAUUCCGGUAGACGAUGGGG